GCAAACCGAAUAUCGAAUGCAAAUUGCACAAACAAUCGCAAAAUAGAUUUAAGAACUCGGCUUCCUUUAUAAUCAGGAUGCAUUUGCUUUAUCUAUCAUAUCUUCAUAUUUUGUUUUUUUGGAUGAAAUCAUGGUAGAUGUUUUACAGAUGAAUUAAGUGAAGCCUAGUGGCAUGCAACUUAUGCGUAGGCUUCGUAUAUAUUUUAUUGAGAAUAAUACACCAC
rnacentral:lncRNA from 1 species